GACGAACGCUGGCGGCAUGCCUAACACAUGCAAGUCGAGCGAACAUUUCUAGAUUCUUUCUUCUAUAAGUGUUAGCGGCGGAUGGGUGAGUAACACGUGGCCAACCUUCCCUGCAGAUGGGGAUAACUCCGGCAAACCGGAACUAAUACCAGAUAAUCAGGUUGUCCGCAUGGACAAACUCUGAAAGACCGCUUCGGCUGUCACUGCAGGAUGGGCCCGCGGCGUAUGAGCUAGUUGGUGGGGUAAGCUCCUACCAAGGCAACGAUGGGUAGCCGACCUGGUAGGGGGAUAGCCGACACUGGGAGUGAGACACGGCCCAGGCUACUACGGGACGGCGCAGUAGGGAAUGUUAGACAGUGGACGGAAGUCUGAUGGAGCGAGGGCGAGUGAGAGACGACGGUGUUGGGAUCGGGAAGAUGUGUUGUGAGGGAAGAACCGGUACGGGCGUAGAUGCACGGAGAUUGACGGUACCGGAUGAGGAAGCAACGGCUAACUACGUG
rnacentral:rRNA from 1 species